rfam:Gossypium raimondii Chr04_contig_1339, whole genome shotgun sequence.
AACGAGAGAAUGACAAAUCAAAUUUUUUCUCCUGAUUUUCAGCUUUUUCGUCUGGACAAAAUUCAAAUCAAACUAAAAACACUAAAAAUCAGGAAGAAAAAUCUAAUUUGUGAUUCUCCUAUU